GCAAGUCGAACGAGACGAGAGCUUAGCUUGCUUUGCUUGAGUUAAGUGGCGGACGGGUGAGUAACACGUGAGCAACCUGCCCAAAAGUAGGGGAUAGCCCACCGAAAGGUGGAUUAAUACCGUAUGUGAUCGCUAGGGGAUUCCCUGGUUGAUUAAAGGUGGGGAUCCUUCGGGACCUGCCGCUUUUGGAUGGGCUCGCGGCCUAUCAGCUUGUUGGUGAGGUAACGGCUCACCAAGGCUACGACGGGUAGCUGGUCUGAGAGGAUGAUC
rnacentral:rRNA from 1 species